rnacentral:tRNA from 1 species
AUUGAUUUGGCAGAUUAGUGCUUUAAAUUUAGAAUUUAAUAAUGUAUAGUUAUACAAUCAAUU